rnacentral:rRNA from 1 species
GUACGCCGCCUGGGGAGUACGGCCGCAAGGCUAAAACUCAAAGGAAUUGACGGGGGCUCACACAAGCGGUGGAGCAUGUGGAUUAAUUCGAAGCAACGCGCAGAACCCUACCUGGGUUUGACAUGCACGGAUGCUCUCUUGGAAACAGGAGCAGGCUGCCUUCGGGUGAAACGUGCACAGGUGCUGCAUGGCUGUCGUCAGCUCGUGCUGUGAAGUGUCAGGUUAAGUCCCUUAACGAGCGAAACCCCUAUCGUUAGUUGCCAGCGAGUCAUGUCGGGGACUCUAGCGAGACCGCCGGCGUUAAGCCGGAGGAAGGUGGGGACGACGUCAAGUCAUCAUGGCCUUUAUGCCCAGGGUGUCACACGUGCUACAAUGGCCGGUACAGAGCGACGCGAUACCGAGAGGUGGAGCAAAUCGCACAAAGCCGGCCCCAGUUCGGAUUGGAGUCUGAAAUUCGACUCCAUGAAGUUGGAAUCGCUAGUAAUCGCGUAUCAGCCACGACGCGGUGAAUGUGUUCCUGAGCCUUGUACACACCGCCCGUCAAGUCAUGGAAGCCGGGAGUACCCGAAGUCCGUUUAGCUAACCGCAAGGAUGCGACGGCCGACGGUAAGACUGGUGACUGGGACUAAGUCGUAACAAGGUAACCGUA